CAUGCGAGAGCGAGAGAGACGUGCGAUCCGGACAGCCGCGAGCGCAAGCGAGAGGUAGAUCGAACGAAGAGAGAGAUCUCUAAAGCCGAUCGAACGAUGGCAGAAACAUCACCGCGCCGUGGGAGAAGCGUCGAGAGAAGAAGCGUCGGGAAGGAGAUCGAAUGAGUGGCUGCCAUUGCCGCGCGCGAAAGUCGUGUAUGUAUCCGGAUCUCUCUCGUUGCACGCACCUCUUCGGCAGGAAGAACCGCCGUGGAAAAUGAAGGAGUUUGAAACGCCACUGUCAUGAAAUUACGCUGCAUACGAAAGGGUUAGAUUCGGAACAGCAGCAUAAUUGCUUGCAGACACGGAUCUUUUUCCCGAGACGUGUCUUUCAACCGCAAUGUCAGAAAACGUCGAGAGCUAAACAUCAUGGGAAUUGUAUCGCAUUUCGCUCCAGAACAGACCGGAACAAAUCAUGGAAACAAAGCGAAGCACGAUGUCACUUCAAACAGAUUUAUUUUCAUUUACGUUAGCAGAGGGAUACGAGUUACACAAAGCGUAGAAUUUACCGGCUGCGAACGCUGGUAAUUGUCCGCGGCGUAACACUCGACAAUGUUAUGCGCCAGAUAUUCGACGAAUAUAACUUUUCGGAGUUAUCGAAUGUGGAUAUUACAUAGAUACACAUCCGUUUCUUUUCUCCUGUUCUUCAUUAAAUCAU